AGAUCUUGCCAUUUUAGGGUUUUCGGGCUGUCAUUAUCUUUCAGGGGGCGGCAGAACUUUACCAAACUUACAAUGUAGGGAUAUCUUGUGAUGAUCAUGUUUGGGAUCUGGAGUUUGCCUCAAGACUACCACCACUUCAUACAUUUAGCGAUCCUCUCAUGACCAAUACAUGCCCAACGAUGAGCAGCGACAUGAUUUGGGGAGCAUCAAUAUCUUAUAUCUAGGGUUUCAAUUUGAUAACUGACUAC